GAUGAACGCUAGCUACAGGCUUAACACAUGCAAGUCGAGGGGAAACGAUGAGAGAGCUUGCUCUCUUAGGCGUCGACCGGCGCACGGGUGAGUAACGCGUAUCCAACCUACCCAUUACAGGGGGAUAACCUUGCGAAAGUAAGACUAAUACCCCAUGGCAUUUUAUGGUGGCAUCAUUAUAGGAUUAAAGAUUUAUUGGUAAUGGAUGGGGAUGCGUCUGAUUAGCUUGUUGGCGGGGUAACGGCCCACCAAGGCAACGAUCAGUAGGGGUUCUGAGAGGAAGGUCCCCCACAUUGGAACUGAGACACGGUCCAAACUCCUACGGGGGGCAGCAGUGAGGAAUAUUGGUCAAUGGGCGAGAGCUUGAACCAGCCAAGUAGCGUGCAGGAUGACGGCCCUAUGGGUUGUAAACUGCUUUUAUAGGGGAAUAAAGUGAGCUACGUGUAGUUUAUUGCAUGUACCCUAUGAAUAAGGACCGGCUAAUUCCGUG
rnacentral:rRNA from 1 species